ensembl:lncRNA
CCGUUAUGUUGGUCUUUUGGGUUUACCACUAGGGGUCACUAAAGAGAGAUGGGAGAUAGUCAAUCUUUUCUAAGUAAUUCCAGAACAGCCAUGGGCUUUGGACAAGAUGCAGAGCUGAGAAAAAAAGACAAUUGCCUACAUAGAAUCCAGAGUUUCAUCUUCCACUCAAUUCAGUAA